UCUUGUCUCAGCUAUGAAGUGACAUCGACAAAGUUUACACGUGAUUUAUAUAAAGAAUUGCUCAUAUCAUUGGUUGCCAGUUUAUUUAUGGGAUUUGGAGUGUUGUUUCUCUGUCUGUGGGUUGGAAUAUAUGUAUAGCAUUAACUGAUUUUGUUAUACAUAUGAUGCAUGCAAGAUGAAUUCUUGUUCCCGAGAAGUCCAUCGAAGAUAAUGAAAUCAUGAUACAAUUUAAAUAGGCAUGCAUCAUUGUUUUGUUUUUUAUUUUACGAAAUUCUAACAUGUGCAAAAGAAAACAUUUUAUUGAAAUAAAUUUAUCCACAAGUAUUUGUCGG